rnacentral:rRNA from 1 species
UACGUAGGGUGCGAGCGUUGUCCGGAAUUACUGGGCGUAAAGGGUGCGCAGGCGGUCUCGUAAGCUGGGUGUGAAAGCCCCGGGCUUAACCUGGGAAUGGCAUUCAGGACUGCGAGGCUUUGAGUGCGGCAGAGGGAGGUGGAAUUCCACGUGUAGCAGUGAAAUGCGUAGAGAUGUGGAGGAACACCGAUGGCGAAGGCAGCCUCCUGGGCCAGCACUGACGCUCAUGCACGAAAGCGUGGGGAGCAAACAGG